rnacentral:lncRNA from 1 species
AUGGCUGCUAGCAGUAUGGAUGACAUUCUGGUUAUCACUGGAUUCAAUACAUGCUUGAGCAUAGUCUUCUCCUCGGGUGGUAUGCUUAAUAAUGCCAUAGUCUCUAUAAGGAACGUAUGCAUUAGUCUGCUGGCAGGAAUUGUUUUGGGAUUUUUUGUUCGAUAUUUUCCAAGUGAAGACCAAGCAGCCAACGUAUUGGUUUACAUGGAUCUGGAGGAUUAUGCACACUAGUGUUGAGUUUCAUUGCAGGGACAAAAUGGUCCCAAGAAAAGAUGAAAGUCCAAAAGAUUAUUACAAAUGUAUGGGAUAUUUUUCAACCACUUCUUUUUGGUUUAGUUGGAGCAGAAGUAUCUGUUUCAUCGCUUGAAUCAAAUAUUGUUGGCAUAUCUGUUGCCACUCUUGAGUUUGGCAUUAUGUGUUCGAAUUUUAACCACAUAUCUAUUGAUGUGCUUUGCUGGUUUUAGUUUUAAGGAGAAAAUAUUUAUUGCUUUAGCAUGGAUGCCCAAAGCUACAGUACAGGCUGUGUUAGGUCCUCUGGCUCUAGAAACAGCAACAGUCUCCGCACCCCACUUGGAACCAUAUGCAAAGGAUGUGAUGACAGUAGCAUUUUUAGCCAUCUUGAUCACAGCUCCAAAUGGAGCUCUACUUAUGGGCAUUCUGGGGCUUAAAAUGCUCACACGCCAUUAUGAUCCAAGCAAAAUAAUACUGCAAUUGCCAGCAUUAGAACAUCAUUAAAAAGUUUACCUGUCAUCAUCU